UACGAAGGGUGCAAGCGUUACUCGGAAUUACUGGGCGUAAAGCGUGCGUAGGUGGUUUGUUAAGUCUGUUGUGAAAGCCCCGGGCUCAACCUGGGAAUGGCAAUGGAUACUGGCAAGCUAGAGUGCGGUAGAGGGUAGUGGAAUUCCCGGUGUAGCGGUGAAAUGCGUAGAGAUCGGGAGGCACACCAGUGGCGAAGGCGGCUACCUGGACCAGCACUGACACUGAGGCACGAAAGCGUGGGGAGCAAACAGG
rnacentral:rRNA from 1 species